rnacentral:lncRNA from 1 species
CUGUGAGACUAUCUUUUUUGAGGUCACUCACUCAUAGGAUCUGGUAAAUUCUAAACCAUUUUUCAAACAUAUCUUCCUCAGAGCC